rnacentral:lncRNA from 1 species
UCUCAAUUUCUAACUUGAGCAUCAAAGGAUUCUCACCAAAGCCAUCUCUGACCAAGGACUUCAUUUGUAGAUAUUGCCGUUGCCAUCUUCGUCGGGCCACGAUCUACUCCAGCAGCUCUGACACUAGUCGAGAUAUGUCGCGGCAACAACUCCCAAUAAUUAUAAGAUAUGUGCAACUAAAACCUAAUAAAUAUUAUUAAAAAGAUGGCCUUAUUAUUCA